rnacentral:rRNA from 1 species
CCUACGGGGGACUGCAGUGGGGAAUAUUGGGCAAUGGGCGAAAGCCUGACCCAGCAACGCCGCGUGAAGGAAGAAGGCUUUCGGGUUGUAAACUUCUUUUGUCAGGGAAGAGCAGAAGACGGUACCUGACGAAUAAGCCACGGCUAACUACGUGCCAGCAGCCGCGGUAAUACGUAGGUGGCAAGCGUUGUCCGGAUUUACUGGGUGGAAAGGGCGUGUAGCCGGGUUGACAAGUCAGAUGUGAAAUCCUGCGGCUCAACCGCCGAACUGCAUUUGAAACUGUUGAUCUUGAGUAUCGGAGAGGCAGGUGGAAUUCCUAGUGUAGCGGUGAAAUGCGUAGAUAUUAGGAGGAACACCAGUGGCGAAGGCGGCCUGCUGGACGACAACUGACGGUGAGGCGCGAAAGCGUGGGGAGCAAACAGGAUUAGAUACCCCUGUAGUC